GGUCCAUUGAGGUGUAUAUAUACACCUCAAUGCUAAGGCCCAAUGUUACUCAAUAGCACAGCUUUUGUGCACCGAUCGGCCGGUUAGGUGGCGCUCCAGAGGAUUGUUUAUCAUGGUGUGUGGUAUUUUCGACAAGAUCCUGAGAAGCCUGGAAACAUCGGUCAUAAAUGAAGAACGCCGAUUGGUGUCAAAUAAAUGAACAUGGCAUCGAUUGGGUCAAGCAGCUCGCGGUGAACUGGAAUUGCAAGAGUGUACAAUGCUAAUGAUAUUCUUGUCAUUUUGAACUGUGAUGACAAUGAUGUGGAGGCACUAGUAGUGGGUCAGAUAGUGAAUACGAUAUCAGAGAAGACAAAAACAACGGCUCCCAGGUUGAGUCCGAAAGUUCUGACGACGAUGUUCCUUCCUUGACAAGUCUACGAGUGCAAAAUCAAAAACAAAAGCCAAAUAAAUAAUGCAACCGACGGCAAUCAGUUUCGGUGGAGAAAGAAACAAUUCAAUAGACCCGAUGCAACAUCAGACGAUGGGACAGACGAACGAAACAGCAUGUGCACAUAGCCAUGCCUGCUAUCGUGCAAGAAUAGAAUAAGUUUAUGGGAGGUAUUGAUAAUUUGGAUUCAUUUCUUGCAAAGUACAGGUUUCGAAUGAAAUCAAAAAGAUGGUAUCUUUAUCUCUUUUGACAUUUUAUAAUGGUGGCUAUUGUGAAUGCAUAGCUCUGGUACCGUCGUGAUUGUGCCCUGCUCCAUCUUCCAACUUCAUAUAUUAUGAAACGGCGACAUUUUCAAGCAGCAGUCGCAAGCGCUUUGAUCUAUGUCAAUACUGACACCCGUCGCGGGAGACCCUCGUCUGAAGUUGAAGAAAUUCGCAGCCCCGCAAGGAAAAUAUCCAAGGCCCCAUGUGAAGAUAUCCGACGAGACAAAUACGCACACUGGCCAAUGAAAAUUGAGAAAAGGAUAAGAUGCAAAUUGUGUGAACGCAAUCAAACAAAUACCAGCUGUUCAAAGUGUAAAGUGAAACUUUGUUUUGUCGAGGGCCGCAAUUGUUUUUGACUUUCCACGCCUGAGGAAUUGGAACAAUUAGUUAUAUUCUCAGGGAAUCGUUUCUGCAGUUUUUUAAGUUUUUAUUUCAUGCUUGCUUUAUGCGCAAAUGAUUCGCCGAUAUUGCUCUUUGAGUUCGCUCGUUCAAUGUUGGA